rnacentral:rRNA from 1 species
AGUUCGGAUUGUAGGCUGCAACUCGCCUACAUGAAGUCGGAAUUGCUAGUAAUCGCGGAUCAGCAUGCCGCGGUGAAUACGUUCCCGGGCCUUGUACACACCGCCCGUCACACCAUGGGAGUCGGUAACACCCGAAGCCUGUAGUCUAACCGCAAGGGGGGACGCAGUCGAAGGUGGGAUUGAUGACUGGGGUGAAGUCGUAACAAGGUACC